CCUACGGGUGGCAGCAGUAGGGAAUAUUGCUCAAUGGGGGAAACCCUGAAGCAGCAACGCCGCGUGGAGGAUGAAGGUUUUCGGAUUGUAAACUCCUUUUGUUAGGGAAGAUAAUGACGGUAUCUACCGACUAAGCAGCGGCUAACCCCGUGCCAGCAGCAGCGGUAAUACGGAGGGUGCAAGCGUUACUCGGAAUCACUGGGCGUAAAGAGAGCGUAGGCGGGAUAGCAAGUCAGGAGUGAAAUCCCAGGGCUUAACCAUAGAACUGCAUUUGAAAAUGUUGUUCUAGAGUAUGGGAGAGGUAGGUGGAAUUCUUGGUGUAGGGGUAAAAUCCGUAGAGAUCAAGAGGAAUACUCAUUGCGAAGGCGACCUGCUAGAACAUAACUGACGCUGAUGCGCGAAAGCGUGGGGAGCAAACAGGAUUAGAUACCCUGGUAGUC
rnacentral:rRNA from 1 species